UUUAUCAGGCAAGAUAAAUUUUUUUUUCUAGAACCCUCCUACCCACUGCAGACUUCCCCUUACAUCUCAUCAGCCAAAGCUGUUGCCCACCUCUAGAGCAGUCACUGGCCAAAGGGAACUGCUACUGCCAAGAAGGCCUUUGACGAAACAUGAUCAUCCACGCAUGCUGGGAACAUGGCUGCCCGGGCAAAACUGUGGUUCCAUUGGCUAUGAAGAAGGGGACAUGGCUGUUGGGUAGGCAACCAAUAGCUUUUUUCCUAAGAUGCAAUACCUACAGGCAUUUGAGAGAGGCCCCUCACAAGACCACUGCUCUGUUGGCUGCGCCAGAGUUUUUGAUCUGCAAGGCAGACACUCUCCCUAGUGGUUGCUCCAAGUCCUCAGAGUUUCGAAGCUGCUUGGCUGCUUGCAGCGAAGAAGGGCAGAGAGAGGCCUGCUCAGCAAAGUGCACUGUGUUUCCUGGAUCUCACAGCAACACUCCUUGUGACCAGUCUUGCAAGGGUGCUCACAGAAACCGCUCCUGCCUCUGGCCCCUCUUCCAUGGAGACUUUGUGGCAGACCCUGCAGGGGAGGAGAGUGCAGCCCAUUGAGCUUGGAGACUGGAGGACUUGAAAGACCGCUGACAGCAGUGGUGGACAUCAGUGCUUGGCAAUGAGGACCAAGCAAGAAGCCAGGGUCCAGCUGACACCCUGUUUCUUUGAAUGAAAACCUGGAACACACACACUUCACAUGUGCUCCUCCUGAACUUAGGUUGUGGGUGGGGGGAGGAACACAGAGGGAGAAUCCUGAACUGGUUGAAUAUUAACCCAAAAGGACCUGAGAGAAAAAGCCUGAAAGAGACUGAGUUACUCUGCAUUGGCGAGAUUAUGCAGAAGUGAGAAUAUAAGAACUAGGCUAAAUUCAGUUAUAAUGUAAUAAAGUCACAUUUUCCACA